UACGUGCGGGGCGAACGUUGUUCGGUGUCACUGGGCUUAAAGGGUGCGUAGGUGGUUUCGUAAGUAAGGUGUGAAAGCCCUCGGCUUACCCGGGGAAUUGCGCCUUAUACUGCGAGACUUGAGGAGUUCAGGGGAAUGGGGAACUCCAGGUGUAGCGGUGAAAUGCGCAGAUAUCUGGGGGAAGGCCGGCGGCGAAGGCGCCAUUCUGGGAAAUUCCUGACACUGAGGCACGAAAGCGUGGGGAGCAAACAGG
rnacentral:rRNA from 1 species